rnacentral:tRNA from 1 species
UCAGUUAGUUUCGGUAUACCCCGAAAAAGAACA